rnacentral:rRNA from 1 species
UUGGAGGGCAAGUCUGGUGCCAGCAGCCGCGGUAAUUCCAGCUCCAAUAGCGUAUAUUAAAGUUGUUGCAGUUAAAAAGCUCGUAGUUGAAUUUCGGGAUUGACGUGAUGGUCAUGCCUUAAGGGGUAUGAACUGUUACUGUUGAUUUCUCACCUUCUGGAGAAACUUGAUGUCCUUUAUUGGGUGUCUUGCGGAUCCAGGACCUUUACCUUGAAAAAAUUAGAGUGUUUAAAGCAGGCAUUUUUGCUCGAAUACAUUAGCAUGGAAUAAUAGAAUAGGACGGCAUGGUUCUAUUUUGUUGGUUUCUAGGAUCACCGUAAUGAUUAAUAGGGAUAGUUGGGGGCAUUAGUAUUCAAUUGUCAGAGGUGAAAUUCUUGGAUUUAUUGAAGACUAACUACUGCGAAAGCAUUUGCCAAGGAUGUUUUCAUUAAUCAAGAACGAAAGUUAGGGGAUCGAAGACGAUCAGAUACCGUCGUAGUCUUAACCAUAAACUAUGCCGACUAGGAAUCAGACGAUGUUAAUUUUUUAAUGACUCGUUUGGCACCUUAUGGGAAACCAAAG